ACCAACAAUAAAGGCAAAUGGCAAAGUCUCAGUGAAAAACCUUGACCUGUCACUGAAAGCCAUUGUCAACAUCUAAAUGUCAGAACACAACUUUUAAAAGGAUUUGAAACUAGAAUGCAUUAGGAGAAUCAGUACAACAUAGACAAUUUAUAAGGAUGCAAAUGAAAGAGGUCAGCUCAUAACUUUGGGCCUGAAGGGAAAGCCACACUGGUUUGCUGUGGACAAGAUUAUGAGUUGCCAUACCGAAGAAUCUUAAUGGUUUUUCUACACUGCAGUUCGAGACCAUGCUGGCACAAGCAAAGGUACCAGAUAGGAAAAAUAUCCAGCCUCUUUUUAUUUUCAGUCCUAAAACACAGCUACAGUGAACAAAUACAUGUGGCCCAAUAAAGUGUGCAUUGAUUUAUAA